rnacentral:rRNA from 1 species
UAAGAAUCUUGCGCAAUGGGGGAAACCCUGACGCAGCGACGCCGCGUGGGGGAUGAAGGCCUUCGGGUUGUAAACCUCUUUCACCACCGACGAAGCUCUGUGUUUACUUCGGUAAUCUCAGUUUGACGGUAGGUGGGGAAGAAGCGCCGGCUAACUACGUGCCAGCAGCCGCGGUAAUACGGAGGGUGCAAACGUUGCUCGGAAUCAUUGGGCGUAAAGCGCACGUAGGCGGCUUCUUAAGUCGGGUGUGAAAGCCCUCGGCUCAACCGAGGAAGUGCAUUCGAAACUGAGGGGCUUGAAUACUGGAGAGGAUGGCGGAAUUCCCGGUGUAGAGGUGAAAUUCGUAGAUAUCGGGAGGAACACCAGCGGCGAAGGCGGCCAUCUGGACAGAUAUUGACGCUGAGGUGCGAAAGCGUGGGGAGCAAA